rnacentral:rRNA from 1 species
UGGGGAAUCUUGGACAAUGGGCGAAAGCCCGAUCCAGCAAUAUCGCGUGAGUGAUGAAGGGUUCCGGCUCGUAAAACACUGUUGUAAGAGAAGAAUGACAUUGAGAGUAACUGUUCAAUGUGUGACGGUAUCUUACCAGAAAGGAACGGCUAAAUACGUGCCAA